rnacentral:rRNA from 1 species
AACGAACGCUGGCGGCAUGCCUAACACAUGCAAGUCGAACGAGACCUUCGGGUCUAGUGGCGCACGGGUGCGUAACGUGUGGGAACCUGCCCUUAGGUUCGGAAUAACUCCCCGAAAGGGGUGCUAAUACCGGAUAAUGUCUUCGGACCAAAGAUUUAUCGCCUUUGGAUGGGCCCGCGUUGGAUUAGCUAGUUGGUAGGGUAAAAGCCUACCAAGGCGACGAUCCAUAGCUGGUUUGAGAGGAUGAUCAGCCACACUGGGACUGAGACACGGCCCAGACUCCUACGGGAGGCAGCAGUGGGGAAUAUUGGACAAUGGGCGAAAGCCUGAUCCAGCAAUGCCGCGUGAGUGAUGAAGGCCUUAGGGUUGUAAAGCUCUUUUACCCGGGAUGAUAAUGACAGUACCGGGAGAAUAAGCUCCGGCUAACUCCGUG